CCUACGGGUGGCUGCAGUGGGGAAUAUUGCACAAUGGGCGCAAGCCUGAUGCAGCCAUGCCGCGUGUGUGAAGAAGGCCUUCGGGUUGUAAAGCACUUUCAGCGGGGAGGAAGGCGUUAAGGUUAAUAACCUUGGCGAUUGACGUUACCCGCAGAAGAAGCACCGGCUAACUCCGUGCCAGCAGCCGCGGUAAUACGGAGGGUGCAAGCGUUAAUCGGAAUUACUGGGCGUAAAGCGCACGCAGGCGGUCUGUCAAGUCGGAUGUGAAAUCCCCGGGCUCAACCUGGGAACUGCAUUCGAAGCUGGCAGGCUAGAGUCUUGUAGAGGGGGGUAGAAUUCCAGGUGUAGCGGUGAAAUGCGUAGAGAUCUGGAGGAAUACCGGUGGCGAAGGCGGCCCCCUGGACAAAGACUGACGCUCAGGUGCGAAAGCGUGGGGAGCAAACAGGAUUAGAUACCCGAGUAGUC
rnacentral:rRNA from 1 species